UCAUCAAUUAUUUUGAGUAUUCUGGUCUUAAAAACAUCUCUUUCUUCUACAAACUUCUGAAAGAGAUGAACACCUCCACCUACACCAAAAUAAUGUGCUUUGCUGGCCAAAAGUACACGUCCAUUUUUACUUAACAGUCUAAGGAAAGUCUGGUGCAAAUUACUAUAAUAAUCUGGGUUGUAAAUGGUUUCUGAGGUGAGAAUGAGAUCAUAUUUUACAAAAAGUUUUUCACUGCUUAGUACAAGCUUACAAAACUCAGACCACUCACCAGAAAAAAAUCGGCAUUUAUAUAGUUGUGUUACUUUUGGUUUCCUGCAUCUUUUCACAUCUGGCUCAUUUACAUCAUUUUCUUCAUCUUCCAAAGUGGAGUUAGCUACUACAUUAGGUAAGGUUACUUCAUCAAUCACCAUACUGUUAUAAUCUUGAAAGUGAAUUUCUUUGGACCCUCCCUUGAAUGCAGUUAUACCCAGUAAACCUGAUCCACAACCAAGAUCCAAGACUUUUUUCCCAGCAAAUUUCACUUUGGCCUUUGUGAAAUAAGCCAGGAGGUCAAAGGUACAUUCCCAGAUUUUUAAGCCUCCCUCAUAAACACCUGUAAUCAGAUCAGAGUGAGAAGAAAAGCUUUUUGAAACUAUGUUUUCUCCAGGGAAGUUCUCUUUCAACAAGAUGGUUUUCACUACUGAUAACUUAACAUGCUGGAAACCUGGUAAUGUUUCUAUGACUUUAUUUUCUAACAUCUUCUUUAAAUCUUUAGGCAUAGCAUGCUCUUUGGCAGCUCUCAAGGAGGGCUGUUUUCCAUGUGGCUCCAAGUUCCUUGAACUGCUGGCUGCACUGAGUGGACUGUCUGUGUCUUGAGAGGGAGCUGCAUUUUCCAUUGACUUAUGUUCCCACAAGUGAUCCUGAGUGAUCCAGACCUGGGGAUGCUUGCUUCCCGACGUGUCCUGGGAUCGCGCUUCUGAAAAAGCUCACCUCACGACGCCUCCUCCGGACCUAAAUCGCGCACCAGUGAGUCGAGUCCUCCAGG
rnacentral:lncRNA from 1 species